rnacentral:rRNA from 1 species
UGGGGAAUAUUGGACAAUGGGCGAAAGCCUGAUCCAGCCAUGCCGCGUGUGUGAAGAAGGUCUUCGGAUUGUAAAGCACUUUAAGUUGGGAGGAAGGGUUGUAGAUUAAUACUCUGCAAUUUUGACGUUACCGACAGAAUAAGCACCGGCUAACUCUGUGCCAGCAGCCGCGGUAAUACAGAGGGUGCAAGCGUUAAUCGGAAUUACUGGGCGUAAAGCGCGCGUAGGUGGUUUGUUAAGUUGGAUGUGAAAUCCCCGGGCUCAACCUGGGAACUGCAUUCAAAACUGACUGACUAGAGUAUGGUAGAGGGUGGUGGAAUUUCCUGUGUAGCGGUGAAAUGCGUAGAUAUAGGAAGGAACACCAGUGGCGAAGGCGACCACCUGGACUAAUACUGACACUGAGGUGCGAAAGCGUGGGGAGCAAACAGGAUUAGAUACCCAUGUAGUCCCUGAGCGGGCUGGCAAGGCGCAU